GACGAACGCUGGCGGCGUGCUUAACACAUGCAAGUCGAACGGUAAGGCCCUUCGGGGUACACGAGUGGCGAACGGGGGAGUAACACGUGGGUGAUCUGCCCUGCACUUCGGGAUAAGCCUGGGAAACUGGGUCUAAUACCGGAUAGGACCCUGGGAUGCAUGUCCUGGGGGGGAAAGCUUUUGCGGUGUGGGAUGGGCCCGCGGCCUAUCAGCUUGUUGGUGGGGUGAUGGCCUACCAAGGCGACGACGGGUAGCCGGCCUGAGAGGGUGACCGGCCACACUGGGACUGAGAUACGGCCCAGACUCCUACGGGAGGCAGCAGUGGGGAAUAUUGCACAAUGGGCGCAAGCCUGAUGCAGCGACGCCGCGUGAGGGAUGACGGCCUUCGGGUUGUAAACCUCUUUCAGCACCGACGAAGCGCAGGUGACGGUAGGUGCAGAAGAAGGACCGGCCAACUACGUGCCAGCAGCCGCCGUAA
rnacentral:rRNA from 1 species